rnacentral:rRNA from 1 species
GCGAUGUUGAACGUUUUCGGACGGUCUUUGUUGCGAGAACCGCGUUAAUCGAAUCGGCUUGAACCGGGCAAAAGUCGUAACAAGGUUUCCGUAGGUGAACCUGCGGAAGGAUCAUUAU